UGGGGAAUUUUGGACAAUGGGGGCAACCCUGAUCCAGCAAUGCCGCGUGAGUGAAGAAGGCCUUCGGGUUGUAAAGCUCUUUUGUCAGGGAAGAAACGGUAGUAGCGAAUAACUAUUACUAAUGACGGUACCUGAAGAAUAAGCACCGGCUAACUACGUGCCAGCAGCCGCGGUAAUACGUAGGGUGCAAGCGUUAAUCGGAAUUACUGGGCGUAAAGCGUGCGCAGGCGGUUGUGUAAGUCAGAUGUGAAAUCCCCGGGCUCAACCUGGGAAUUGCAUUUGAGACUGCACGGCUAGAGUGUGUCAGAGGGGGGUAGAAUUCCACGUGUAGCAGUGAAAUGCGUAGAUAUGUGGAGGAAUACCGAUGGCGAAGGCAGCCCCCUGGGUCAAGAUUGACGCUCAUGCACGAAAGCGUGGGGAGCAAACAGGAUUAGAUACCCAUGUAGUCCCUGAGCGGGCUGGCAAGGCGCAU
rnacentral:rRNA from 1 species